UACGGGGGGGCAAGCGUUGUUCGGAAUUACUGGGCGUAAAGGGCUCGUAGGCGGCCAACUAAGUCCGACGUGAAAUCCCUCGGCUUAACCGGGGAACUGCGUCUGAUACUGGAUGGCUUGAGUUUGGGAGAGGGAUGCGGAAUUCCAGGUGUAGCGGUGAAAUGCGUAGAGAUCGGGAGGAACACCAGUGGCGAAGGCGGCUACCUGGACCAGCACUGACACUGAGGCACGAAAGCGUGGGGAGCAAACAGG
rnacentral:rRNA from 1 species